rnacentral:lncRNA from 1 species
GCCGAUAGAAAUGGAUAGUAAUAAUUCAAUCAUACAAGCUUUUUACACAUUAACCACAAAGCAAUCGAAUCAUGCAAAAAACAUAAGGACAAAAGUGGCUAAAGUCACGGCAACACUUAGAGAACUUAAUCUAAGAAUGGUAUAGAAUGAUAAUUUCUUUGAAGAUCUCUCGUCAUUUGCCAGAAAUCCUCCUGCCUGUCGCAGCCAUGUCGAAAGCUACCUUCCUCUCUAGCAGCUCCCAUGGUGGCACUUGAGAUUCGUGUUAUUCUCGAUACCGAAGAAUUGGGGGUCAGGAAUCUCCAUUGGACGAUCCUCAGCCACAAUUUCUACAUCAAAUAACUAAAUAACAGGAAUAAUAGGUCAAUAAAGUAUCAUUCAAAUAUGAAUUUCCUGUUGUCAGAGAUUGGGAAAAAAUUCAAAGAGAAGUUGAUACAAAAGCAAAUACCUCAGAUUCUGAAAGGGACAACAAAGAGAUGUCGACCCUUGUGAGUGAGAGAAUGGGCUCUCCAUCUUCCUUGGUGAAACCUCUCCAUGGGGGACAUGUUGGAUUGGAGGUUUACUGGUUGAGACCAAGGAAUCUGAAGGAAUUGGAAUAGAUCAGGCGAUACUAGUGAGCCCGAGUAAGACUGGUACUUGUGACUGAAGUCAAUCUGCAAUACAUCGAUCAAGUGUAGCAUCGAUCAAGCAAACACAGUGCAAAAUAUAUGCUGUGAUCAAGUGCUUGAUUAAAAGGAAUAACUCUGGUAUUGGACUUACACAUACCACAAGAAAGAAGGCGUCAUGGCAUGAUUGGAUCAGUGAAAGGCCACUAUAGGAAAUGACAUGGUACUAAAAAAUUACACAAUGCAUAACACAUACACCAUCAGUGCAGAACAAUAUAAACUGAACCUUUAUGAGUGUUGAAUAAUUAGCAGUAAAUAAGUAACUUCACGUUCAUUUGAUGCUUUAGUUAAUCCAAAGUUCCCAACUAACAGAAACAAGCAGCUGAUGGAUAUGUGGAGUUGCAAUCAGCUACACAAUUCAGUCAACUAGUGGUUUCCUUUCAAAGCUGUAGUACUAGGUAUGUGACAACAGUUGGAUGGUACUGUAAUUACGAUUGUUCAGAGUUCAGACAUGCAAUUCAAUGCUAGACAAAAACCUACGAAGAUUUGAAGAUAAGAUUCAGCAAACUGACCUUUCUAUCCAGCACAGCAGAAAACAAUAAAUCCCACUGCAAGAACGCACCACACACAUCAACUUCCUUGCAAUUGCAAAAAGAAAGGAAUAUGUAGAUCUAAAGGGAAGAUGUAAAGGAUGGGGGGUAUGUGGCCAGACCGUGAGGCGUCACCGGCGGAGCAAAAGACGGCGACGAGGCCACCCGAACCCUAGGGAUGAAGCAGUACGGCGUCGACAGGACAGUGGCGCCCGUCUCCUCCGGCAGGAGGUGGCGGCACACCAGUAUGUUCCUCUGCCGGAUUCGUGGAGGACGAGGCGGCGCACCAAUAUGUUCUCCCGCCGAUGCGCCGGCCUCCGUCCCCAGGGCCGCCGCCUCCGUUGUCGCCUAGGGUUCGCGGAGGCGUUCGAGCGGACUGAGCCACGGAGGAGAAAGUUGUGAGUGAGGCGCCCGCCGGGAUACCGCAGAUGAGGAGGGGGCGGCGUUCGACCUGGCUGGAGCAGGAGGACCUCCGAUCUGGUGGGUAGCGACAAUGGGGGAUGGGGAGAGGAGCAGGAAAUUUUGGGGGAGGGGCGGUUGCUACGGGCGGGAUAAGAUCGUGGGGAAGAUUAUUUUUUUUUACGGAACGCAAGGGUAGAAAUUUUUGGAAAAAAACAGAGGGAAAUGGUAUUUUCGGCGUAAACAUGUGAAAUGUUUUUAAGAAAUUAGAGUUCUUUUGAGUGUGCCCGGACGAAUAUGAUUGAUACUUGUGCCCCCCCCCCCACCCAGCGACCAAGAUUGUUACUUGCGGGCCUGGAAGACUAAGAUUGGUAUUUCUGGACCCGGACUACUAUGAUCAGUAGUAUUUGCGGGGUUUGACGACUAAGAUUGAUACCUGUGGGGCCGGACGACUAUGAUCGAUACUUGCAAGGCCGAAUGACUAUGAUGAGUGGACUAUGAGUUGUUUCUGCGUGAGUAGAUGGGAAUGAGAGCUCCCUAGCCUCCCCUUAUAUUCUCGAGGAGGCUAGGGUUUUGCAAAGAGAAACCAAUCUAGGGUUGCCCCCGCAUAACUUGGAGGUUAAGUUGGUUGCGUGGUAUAACAUCGUUAGUAGGACCUCGGUUAGGUCUUCAACAUUGGCGACUAGGUGGGUGGUUGGUGGGUUGAAAAAUCCAACCUUCCCACGUGACUCCCAGAUCCAGUCAUAAACAGAGGGCUGAUAUUGCGAGCCUAUGAAUCCGAUCUAUCAUCUCAUUCAGAAGGGUUUUGUUGCGAUCCUCCUAAUCCUGACCUGACCUGACAUCAGUGCCAGGGGAAGUUUUCCUGAGAUCCGAUCUGACAUAGAUCUGGGGUGUUCCUGCAAGGUCGUGUCAGUUGUCGAGCACCCGAGCUGUGUCGUCGGAUCCGAGAUUGUUACCAGGUAUGAUGUAAGGUUUUCUUACUCGCCCUGAGCCUUAUCUUAAUUACCUCGGCGUUGGCACGAGCAUGUCCUAUUCUCCCACGAUCUGGUCUGACACCCAACUCGAGAAGGCCAGCUACAUGCGAGAAUCCGUGGUAUACUCCAAGUUAUCAAAUCUCAUGACCUAGCCUAGAGCAUGGUUAUCAAACUGGCCUAGAUGGUCGGUCGGGUCAGUGAAGAGCAUGUUGUUGCCGGAAACAAAGAUCAGGCCUGGCAUAAAGGUCAUGCCAGAACCCAUCUGCUCACCCAUGUUGAUUGCCAUUUAUUCGCGGUGGCUACGUAGCGAGACCUGCAUGGGCCACCAAUGACGGUGUCGAUUCUGCAAAUCUCGGUAGGGGUCCCGAGCUAGUAGCCUAGAUGCAAUGAUAAAAUUGGAUGCAGGUUUUACCCAGGUUCGGGAUCUCUCGAAGAGAUAAUACACUAUCUCCUGCUUUUUGAUUGUAUUGAUUUGUGACGGAGUAGAGAGUACAGGGUUGUCCCUCACGAGAUUGUUGAUGUCGUCUACGAGCCCUACCCCUAGAUUGUAGAGUUACCAUGGGGUCUAGGGUUAUAGAUAAGUCGACUAUGUAUGUGGUAGAUCGUGGUGUAGACCACAUCUAAGUCUUUUGAGUAUGCACCAAGUCUUUGAGAACAGUCCAUCUAUACGCCAUGGGCCUUCUGGAAUGGCCCGUUAAUGAACCGGAACGGAGGUCCUCGGCCUGGGCCACCUGGGCGAGAGAUGACAUGGUGAGUACCCACUAGUUCAGGACACCGUAACCUGAACCUGGUAGAGUUUUUCGAAACUCGGGUCAGCCUGACUGGGACGAUGAGAGGCCUCUUUUGUUUACUGUUCGUGGCGAUGACCUGAAACUUGUAGAUGACGCAUAACAAGAUGAUUAUUGGGUGUGCCUUCUUACGGGGGGCAACUAACUCUAUAUUUAAAUUGCCUUUUCGCAACACUGACACUCACUUAAUGGGUAGUAGGUCUCGAACCGGCUUGGCAGCAUGAUGGACGCGAUGACUGUAGCAUCAUGUCACCUUGCCUCGCCAUUGAUCUGUAGGCCACUUGGUAGCUUCUUUUUACCCUUUUUAUUAUGGCAUGUUCGUGCUAUUGCCGCAAUAGAUUUAUUUUUAAUUUUUUGGCUAUUGAACUGGUUGUAUGAAUUUGGUGGUUGUUUUAUGUAUAAUAAUAGUCUGUCAGAAUACUAAUUAAUAGCCCUACGCUGAAGCCAAUUCAAAGUAAUAGUAAAAAUCGUUAUAGUACAAAUGUAUACAGUUUUCUUUCAAUAAUUAGUGAUAAUCUUCACGUUCCUUCAAGAAUUCAUAGUAAUGGUCAUACAGAAGGAGCCUCAUGAUUCUAAAAAAUUUAUGAUUAAUAGCUAAAAUACAGUAUGAUCUUCAACAAUUCAGAAUUCAGCAUAAUAAGUACAAUAUCAUUUUCCAUGUGACAUCCUCUUUUCUUGGCAGACCUUCCUCUCUGAUUCUUGGUCCUGCACACAACAAAAACUGAAUUAUUUCAGGCAAGAAGACAUAUUCAGCUACACAUUGAGAAAAAAAUGAUUUAAUAGCUGAAGAAUUCGUAAAAUUCUAAAACUGCAAAAGCACAUUUGCCGAAGGUGGCCCCUUUCCGGUAACAAAUGGAAUCAGACAUGAAACAAUUUCCAAGAUGAAACAACUGCAUAAUAUAAUAUCCGUAUUACCCAAGGGUUGUAUAUACAUCUAAGCAUACCAAGAACUAGUAGCAUAUCAUGAAUCCAUAAGUCAAAACCAAUACUGCAUGUAAGACAGAUAAAAAUUGACAAAGAAUAAAAGCACAGUAGUGGCCAUGAAAAUUCAGAAUUGGGCUAUAUAAAACUACAUGUGUCAUCACAAGUACUGUCUGUGUAGUUGUCUUCAGAAUUCAUAUCUUAUAUAAUUUGAUGAGUAGGUAUCUUGCGUAAAAACAAAAACAAG